rnacentral:rRNA from 1 species
ACUGGGGGGGCCUACGGGAGGCAGCAGUGGGGAAUAUUGGGCAAUGGGGGAAACUCUGAUGCAGCAACGCCGCGUGAGUGAUGAAGGUCUUCGGAUCGUAAAGCUCUGUCUUCAGGGACGAUAAUGACGGUACCUGAGGAGGAUGCCAUGGCUAACUACGUGCCAGCAGCCGCGGUAAUCUUUAUGCC